rnacentral:rRNA from 1 species
UACGUAGGGGCGCAACGUUGUCCGGAAUUAUUGGGGCGUAAAAGAGCUCGUAGGCGGUUUGUCGCGUCUGCUGUGAAAGCCCGGGGCUCAACCCCGGGUCUGCAGUGGGUACGGGCAGACUAGAGUGCAGUAGGGGAGACUGGAAUUCCUGGUGGUAGCGGUGAAAUGCGCAGAUAUCAGGAGGAACACCGAUGGCGAAGGCAGGUCUCUGGGCUGUUACUGACGCUGAGGAGCGAAAAGCAUGGGGAGCGAACAGGAUAGAUACCCCGUA